rnacentral:lncRNA from 1 species
UCUCUCUCUCCUUUUCUCUCCAUCCCUCUCUCCCUCCCUCUCCCUCCCUCUCCCUCCCUCCCUCUCUCUCCCUUUCUCUCGAUCCCUCUCUCCCUCUCUGUCUCUCUCUCUCCCUCUCUCUCUCUUUCUCCUCCCUCUCUCUCUCUGUCUCUCUCUCUCCUCCCCCUCUGUGUAUAAGAGACCUCUCCCCCUCCAACAGUCAGCUCAGUUUCUGGGAAAAACCAAGCGACAGAGAGACACGGAAGAAAAGAGGGAACGCAGCAGUAACUGCCUAGCUUCUCUCAUUUAUUCAUUCAUUCAUUCACACUCUCAGCACAGCCUCUCUCCAUCUCUCCACCUCUCCACUCCUUCCCCCCUUUCCCCUCCUUCCUUACAUCCAUUUCCCUCUGUCAUCCCUCUUUCUCCUCCUUCUUCCCCCCCUUUUUCUCUUUUUUUUCAUCCCUUCAUCUGCUCCGGUUGUUUGUCUUGGCUAAGUACUUGGCUGAGUACUUGUCAGAUGGGGUGUGGAAAUUCCACAGCGACCAGCACAGGAGGAGGCCCUGCAGAGGGAUCCAAGGAUGCGACAGAGGAGUCGUCACCUGUCGAAGAAAAAAGGAAGAACUAUGGAGGCGUGUAUAUUGGUGUACAAACAGAUCCCAGUAAUGUGGCCGACGGUCAGGCAAUAGAGAAAGGUAAGCAGCUAAUACUACUACUGCUACUACUACUACUGCCAAUACUACUGCUAUUGCUACUUAUACUACUAUUUCUACUACUACUACUGCUAUUACUACUGCUACCCUUACUACUACUACUGCUGCUACUGCUACUACUACUACUACUACUACUACUACUACUACUACUGCUAUUACUACUGCUACCCUUACUACUACUACUGCUGCUACUGCUACUACUACUGCUACUACUGCUGCUACUACUACUGCCACUGUUACUGCCACUACUGGUACUACUACUGUUACUGCUACUGGUACUACUGCUACUGCUUCUAUUACUGCUACUACUACUACUGCUGCUGCUAUUAUUGCUACUGCUGCUACUACUGCUACUGUUACUGCUACUACUACUAUUGCUACUGCUACUUCUACUGCUACUACUAUUGCUAUUACUACUGCUGCUGCUAUUAUUGCUACUACUCCAUGAUUGUAAUCCAAUACAAUUCCAGCCAAUCAACAUGUUGCUUCAAGAGCACAGAAGGGAUUGGUGUAAUUUGGUUGGCUGUUGAGCUCAAAUACCAACAGCCUUUGUCAGAAUCGCGGACUCCACCUCCACCAAGUCUACCUUUAGACAGGCAAAUCUCUAAAGCACCAUGAGAAGUUUCUUAAGACUCAGGACAGUUGUGUGGGCCAAAGCCCUUCAUCAGCUUUGCAAUCGAAGUGAGACAAACAAUGUUUGUGCCACAGGAUGUGACAUUUCAGAGAGUGCAAAAGAGAGAUGUUUCUGACUGUCAUUUUUUAUUUAUAUUUACAUUUACAUUUAGUCAUUUAGCAGACGCUUUUGUCCAAAGCGACGUACAAGGGAGAGAACAGUCAAGCUAAGAGCAAUAAAAACCUGGUGUAACAAUAAAUACUACUUUAC